GGCCUGUAUGUUGUUUUCAGUCGUUGCACAAGUGUGUUCUUGCACAACACUGCCAGGGCUGGCAAAUUCAUGUGCGCAGCAGCCCCAGCACAUUGGAAACACCGGUGGUGUUGAACUAUACUCCAGAUGUUGCUGAACUACAGCUUUCAUCACCCCCAGGUAUAAUUUAUUGUGGCUGGGAAUGAUGGGAGUUGUAGUUCAGCAACAUCUGGAAUACCACAGGUUAUGAACCCCUGUCUUUUAUAUACUUUAAGCAUUACAUAGAGCUAGCUGGGCUGGUGCGGAGAAUCUGUGUGCUAGUUCCCCCUGCAGUCCGGCAUGGUGGCAGAGGCGGCAAAAGCUUCUUCCUUGGGUCCUCCUGCCACCCAAAUGAAAGGUCAGGCAAUUUGGGGCCCAUUUUGGGGCUCUCUCUGCACAUACACAGAGUUCUCCGAAAUGGCCCAACCUGUCAUUUGGGUGGCAGGCGGCCCCACGGAAGGAGCUGUCACCACCUCUGCCGCCAUCCCCGCCUCAGUCUCCCCUCUCUGCUGCCAUCCCCACCCGCCAUGGCCGCUUCCUAUCUGCAUUUUCUCCUCCACAGCAUUGCAGAUUGGGCCUCCAAUCAGUUAAGCUCUGUGCCCGCUGAUUGGGCCUCUGAUUGGUAAAGCACUGUGUGGGCGGGGCUUGCCACAUACAACCUAACCCAUAGAUAGUCAGUCAAGUCAGAGGCUAGACUUCUCGUAUUCCUGGCCAUUUAACUGCACAAUUUACAAUUUGAUGAAUAUGUAUACAUGAUGACCAAUAUGUUGCGCAAGGCAAUACCGGUGUUUUGACCGGUGUUUUGAACGUGCUGGGGCUGAUGCCAGCCCUGGCAGUGUUGUGCAAGAACACUGGACAACCAGAACAGCAAUCCAUGUGCCAAUUCCCAGACUUAAUGUUUGUCUCCAGGGGUGACUGCAUGCCUGCUUUUCCUUCACCCCUGCUGAAAUCAUUGCAAAGCUAACCCUGGCUAUAAAUGCUCCGAAAUAUCGUGGUGCUGUUUUUAUGUGCAGUAGUGCAUAUAAAAUCUUAACUGGAGGACCAAGGGCAUUGCUGGCAGCAGCUCAUUGCAGCUUUGGAGCAUUAUAGAAAGCUUGCUUUUUUCAUCCUGCUUUUCCUUCUUCUGUUUGUGUACAUACAUUGAUUUGCCUAACAAACAGAGAGCUUUUUAAAAAGCCAAAUUGUACAGUAAACAUCCUUUUUGUAUUUCAUCACCAGAAAGUAUAUCCAGUGUUUACUGGCUGUGACCUAAAUAAAAUACAUGCCUAGUUGAAAACACAAGUCAUAUUAUUUAUUUAUUUAUUACAUUUAUAAACUGCCCCAUCCAGAGGUUAUGGGCGGUGUACAACUAGUUUAAAAAACAUAAAAACAAACAUCAUUUAAAACACACUACUUAAAACAAUAUAAACACAAUUUUAACACAAUGUAAAACCAAUUAAAAUACAUUUUCCCCAGCAGCUUUUUUUUUUUUUUAAAUAAGAGCUUAGGGUGUAAAGAUCUUUUUGUGUGAGCUUCCCUGGGGGCUUGCACGAAGAACUACUAGCUGGGUGCCUGUCCACAUCAGUGGAGGUGCUCUGAGAAAUGUUGGGAGUUGGGCAUUCCCUGUCACUCCCACUGAAGUUUGUUUUUCUUCAAAAAUGUAAAUUUUGUUGUAUGCUUCCGGUUUAAAACAGUUUGGGCUUACCUAGCUUCGGCUGCAUUGACUCCUCUCUUCUACUUCCACAAAGACUCCUGUGGUGCUUGGAAUGAAAGAAACCAUGUUUGAAGUGUUCUCUUAGCAAAUCACUUCCUGAAACCACUCUAGUUGUUGUUUUAUUUUAUCAAAAUGUUGUUAUUUUAUCAUUCAUUUAUCAUUUAUCACUUUAAAUUGUAUGGCAAAGGCACCUCUAAUGUUGCCCCACAAACUUUGGCAACCCUUAAGAAGCAAUACAAGAACCUUCUAAGAGAUAAGAAACUCCAUGCCAAAAAAGAGGAAUGGGCUCACUUCACUGCUGCUUCUAAACUUAAAAAUCGGACUAGAUUCUGGUGGCUAAUUUCAUGUCCUUUAGGGAGGGCCCCUUCUAUUUCUAAUUUGGCAAUUCCAGCUGGGAUAUGGGAACAUCGUUUCUCAUAUCAAAAAGAGGGCUCCCAUACAGCUAUAAUUGAUUAUAAGCCAGACCAACUUCCAAGCUGGAGCCCAGUCACUGUCUCGGAUGCGGAAGCUUUAUUUAAAAAAUGUAAGACGGGUAAGGCUUCUGGAAUCAACUGUAUUAUACAAUUGAAAUUAUUUGCAACAACCUUGAUUGGUAGGCUCUUCUUCUUGCUUCCUUAUUUACCUUCAUAGAUACUACUGCAAAAAUGCCCGAGGAUUGGGGUGUCUCGGUAAUAGUCCCAAUUUACAAGGAUCAAGGGAGGAUCCUAAUAACUAUCACCCGAUUAGUCUCCUUAGCAUUAUUAGUAAACUCUGUGCUAGACAUCUCCUGGGGGAAUUACAGGAAUGGCUGGAUACUCGGGAUAUCUUAUCUGCCGAGCAAGCGGGAUUUCGAGAAGGAUAUUCUACAACACAGCAAGUAUUUAUUUUACAAUACUUAGCUGAGAAAUAUUCCUCCUCGCCUAAGUCCUCCCUGUAUGCUGCGUUUAUAGACUUUAAAGCAGCUUUCGAUUCUAUUUCCAGAGAUAGUCUUUGGACGAAGUUAAAGGAAUCAUCUAUAGAUCCACAUUUACUUUUAUUAAUCUACACUCUCCAUCAGAACACCCGCCUCAGAGUGCGGUGUAGUAGGAAAGGGCAUCUCUCGGCUGAGAUACCUACUUACAGAGGAGUGCGGCAAGGUUGUGUUCUUGCCCCUCUUUUAUUUAAUUUUUAUAUAAAUCCAAUCGUUUCUCAUCUGAAUGACCUUGCUCUUGCGAAUAGGCAUGUUUCGUUACUGCUUUAUGCUGACGAUAUUGUCCUGUUAUCUCAAACCAAGAUAAGGUUAAGCUGUGCCUUAACUUCCCUGAGUGUCUCUACUGUGAAGGAGGCCUUGGAGGUAAACUAUACCAAGACUAAGAUGAUGGUUUUUGCAAAACGCCCCCAAACCCAUAAAUAGGCCAUUAAUGGACAUAAUAUUGAGCAAGUCAAGGUUUUCAAGUAUUUAGGGGUUGUAUUUUAUUCCAUUGGGUCCCGGAAAGCUCAUCUUAGCUUUGUUUCUCACAGUGCCCAACAGAUGGCAAAUGUGAUUAAAUCUUUUUACUUCUCGAGAGGUGCUCCUUUUGUUCUAGUGGCUGUCAAAUUAUUGAAGGCUAAAAUAUACCCUCAAAUUCUUUAUGGCGCAAACUGGGCCUUUUGAUAAUUUUACAAUAUUAGAAGCAGUUCAAGCAGUUCAUUAGAGAGAGCCAGCGUGGUGUAGUGGUUAGAGUGUUGGACUAGGACCAGGGAGACCCGAGUUCAAAUCCCCAUUCAGCCAUGAAACUAGCUGGGUGACUCUGGGCCAGUCGAUUCGCUCUCAGCCUAACCUACUUCACAGGGUUAUUGUGAAAGAGAAACUCUAGUAUGUAGUACACCGCUCUGGGCUCCUUGGAGGAAGAGCGAGAGAUAAAUGUAAUAAUAAUAAUAAUAAUAAUAAUAAUAAUAAAUAAUAUAUAUAUAAAAUUCUCCUGGGUGUGCCUUGGAAUGUGCGUCCCAGCGCCCAGCUGAUUGGCUGGGCGGCGGAUGGGCCUGAUUGGCUGAGGCACACCCAGGAGGCCUGUCCACAGAGGUCAGAGGCAGCAGCAGGCCCAGUCCAGCCACGGAGGCAAGGCCCGGGGGUGGGGAGAAAGGGAGGCAGAAGUGGUGGUGGGGAGGAGUGGAGGCUGGGCCUGGAAGUGGAGACUGGGGCAGAAGGUGGCGGGGAAGAGGCCCCAAAAGAGGCCGCUGGCCCCAAAUCGCACACAGAUGCUCUGUGUGAGGUUGGCUAGUAAAACUAAAUUCUUAAGGGCCAUCCUUCAAGGCCCCAGAGGCACAGCUAACAUGGCUCUUCGUAGAGAGGUUGGGGUUACCACCUUGAAAAUGAAAAUCUGGUUUUGUAUAAUCAAAUUUUGGCUGCAUUUGGUUUUCUUCCCAGUCGGUUUAGCACCUUUAGUAUUAACUGACAGCUAAAUGGGAAAUAGCUCUGAAAACGAAAUUGCAUCAACGGGGCACGUCCUAAGAAAACCUUAUAGGGAGGGGUUUAGAUCAGGCAAUAUGUUUUGUUAAGCAACGACUAUUGGACAUGGAUCUGCAGGAGGAGUGUGCUCGACUACCAAGGGGAAUCUAUAUAGGCUCUCAAAACUUCAGCCACAAAUCGGCUGAAUAUUUAGAUCAUAUGUUUUUAGCUAAGUUUAGGAGAGCAUCGACCCUUGCUCGUUUGAAUGCCCUUCCCUCUGCACUCCUAGACGGGAAAUAUAAACGAGUUCCAUACGCAUUGUGUUGUUGCCCUUGUGGCUCAGGCAAUAUAGAGUCAGUUGACCAUGUUAUUCAAGUAUUGUCAAUUUUAUAGGGAUGCUCGUAUUAAGUUUAUUGCUCCUCUGUUAAAGAAUCAUCCUGGCCAUACGGAUCAAUUUUACUUGGAUUUUUUGCUGUCAGAUUUUAAAUCUGUUACUUCUAUAAAUGUGGCCAAGUUUUGUUUUGUUGCAUCCAAACUUUGUAGAGCUUGUAUUAGCAAUUUGAAUAUUUUGUAAAUUAUAAAUGUAUGGUCUAAGGACUGUAAUAAAUUUACAUACUUAUCAUUUAGUACAUUUAUAUACUGCCCCAUACAAAAACGUCCCUGGGUGGUUCACAAUAUACAACUAAUUAAACCCUCUCCUGCUGCCCAAUUCUCAGAAAUGACCUGACUGCAACCCUUUGCACACUUUCUUAGAAGCAAGUUCCGUUGAACUUAGUGGGACUUACUUCUGAAUAAACAUGCAUCUGUUCUCCUGCUGAGAUUACAAUUUUUUCCCUUUUUAUUUUUUAAAUUAAAAUUCUUGCACUUCCACAUAUUUGAUUUCUCGGGGAUGGUGGUAUGGCACAAAUGCUGUUAUGGGGGGAACACAAUAGGGGAGCAGAGGAGGAGAAGGCGGUAGAUCAGUGUUGAGUAAGAACAGGGGGACAGGGGCGGCGGGGCUACUGCUGCUACACUUAGCUGUCCUUUCCACUUUCCCUGAUACUUUGGCUUUAGGCUAUGAAGAAUUUACUCCUAGUAAAAAGGUUUUAGUUAAACAUCAUUUGUUUCUAUUUGUUGCUUGGUCUGGGGGUUUAGUGGGAAGGUGAGCAUGGCAACUGUUGCCAGGUAACUGGACCCUAGUUAUGGUCUCUAGGGGGCGUGGCUGGCUUUGAUUGAUAACAUGAGCUCCAUGGGCUUCAGAACCUGGGCAGCAGUAGGUGAGCAUUCAGUUGAGAUUUAACUGACACUGGAGAAGAUCAUGGAACAGAUCAGUUGGAAACUAGAUGUGGAAGGACAGGCCAAGAAAAUAGCUGGUUAAAAAGGAAAAAGAAAGGAAAUGCUUCCAGGAUCAAACCCCUAUGUGCCAGAGCUGCCAAGGUCCAGUAUUAUCAGAGGCUGAAGAAAUCCUGUAAACAGUUUAUUUUUUAAAUCUCAGUAUUAAUUUAAAAGGGUCACCUUUUGGAGAAAUAAUAAUACUGCUCAGCAUCUAAUUGAAUACAAUGUCUCACUGUGAUGCAUUCUUUCCAGAUAAAAUGUCUUGCAUUUGGGCUGAUUAAGACUCUCCAGUAUUUCUGCAGGGCCAGUUAGGAAGAUGUCCAGCAAUCCCUCUUGCAAUAUUAGAUUUCAUUCAUUCAUUCAUUCAUUCAUUCAUUCAUUUAGCAAAUGUAUUGACUGCCUGACUUCCUUAGACUUGAGGUGGUUUAUAUAAAUUAAAACAACAAAAAAGACAAAAGAAGAGGUGGGGGAGAAAUAAAUGGAAAAAAGAAAAAGAACCCCCCCCCCACACACACACGUUAAAAACUAAACGCCUUGCAAAAUAGACAGGUUUUCAGGAGCUUCUUAAAAGGACAGAAGAGAGGGGACAUUACGAUUUUCAGGAGGCAGAGUGUUCCAUAAGGAGUGGGCUGCAACAGAGAAGGCCCUCCCAUGAGCUCGGGCCCCACAUACCUCCCCUGGGCCUGGAACUCUGUGAAGGCCCACCUGAGAUGACCUCACAGGACGGGUCGAAGUUGGAUGGGAGAGGCAGUCCUGAAGGUACACAGGGGCCAAACCCUGAAGCGUUUUAUAGGUGAUAACCAGCACCUUGAAUAGGACCCGGAAGCGAACUGGUAGCCAAUGCAGCGACUUCAGCAAAGGUGAAACAUGAUCAUAUUUUCUGCAGCCCGUAAGCAGCUGGGCCACUGCACUUUGGGCCAGCUGAAGCUUCCGAGUCAUCUUCAAAGGCAACCCCAGGUAGAGCGCAGACUGUAUCACUUUCAGUUUAUGGUUCCUGAGGAUGUGGACAAGCUGCUUGGAACAGUAUGGCCUACCACCUGUUCUUUGGAUCCUUGUCCAACAUGGCUGAUUUCAUCUUGCAGGGAGGUUGUUGGAGUUGGCCUAAUUGAUAUCAUUAAUACCUUACUAAGGGAGGGCAGGAUGCCACCUUGUUUGAAGGAGGCAGUGGUUAGACCCCUUUGUAAGAAGCCCAUUCUGGAUUUCCUGGUGAUGGAUAAUUAUAGGCCAGCCUCCAACCUCCCAUGGUUGGGUAGGAUAAUUGAGCAGGUGGUAGCUGACCACCUCCAAACAGUCUUGGAGGGAAAGGAUUAUCUAGACCAAUUUCACACUGGCUUUAGGUGGGCUAUCCGGCUGAGGGCCUUGGUUGGCCUGAUAUAUGACCUUUGCCAGGGAAUUGACAGAGGGAAUGAGACUCGCUGGUUCUUUUGGGUCUCUCAGCAGCUUUCAAUACCAUCAACCAUGGUAUCCUCCUGGAUCGUCUGAGGGAUUUGGGGAUAGGAGGCACUGUUUUACAGUGGUUCUGCUUCUAUGUCUUGGGUAGAUUUCAGAUGGUCGCGUUUGGUGACUGUUGCUUUUCAAAAUGGGAGCUACUAUAUGGAGUCCCUCAGGGCUCCAUUCUGUCACCAGUGAUUUUUAACAUCUAAAUGAAACCUCUGGGUGAGGUCAUCAGGAGAUUUGGUGCUGGGUGUUAUCAAUAUGCUGAUGACCUUCUCGGUCAUUGCCCCCAGUCUUUGGAAUGCUCUGCUGGCAGCUGGCAUCUGCACCUCAGCUUCCAUCACAGUUUUUAGAAAACAAGUUAAAACAUGUUUCUUCACCUGGGCUUUUAUAACAGUUUUUACUGCUGCUUCUUUGUGUUUUGUAUGUUACUGUUUUAUAUAGGUUUUAAACUUUUAAGUAGAGAUAUGUUAUAUUUAUAUUUAAUAUCUGUACUUUUUGUAUUUUAAUUAUGCAUUGUUUUAAUUAUAUUGCAAACCAUUUGGGGAUUAUUUUAAUGAAAAGCGGUAUACAGAUCAAACAAUAAAUGACACAAAUCUA